GUGGGGAAUAUUGGACAAUGGGCGCAAGCCUGAUCCAGCCAUGCCGCGUGAGUGAUGAAGGCCUUAGGGUUGUAAAGCUCUUUUGUCCGGGACGAUAAUGACGGUACCGGAAGAAUAAGCCCCGGCUAACUUCGUGCCAGCAGCCGCGGUAAUACGAAGGGGGCUAGCGUUGCUCGGAAUCACUGGGCGUAAAGGGCGCGUAGGCGGCCUAGUAAGUUGGGGGUGAAAGCCCGUGGCUCAACCACGGAAUUGCCUUCGAUACUGCUAGGCUUGAGUGUGGUAGAGGUUGGUGGAACUGCGAGUGUAGAGGUGAAAUUCGUAGAUAUUCGCAAGAACACCGGUGGCGAAGGCGGCCAACUGGACCAUUACUGACGCUGAGGCGCGAAAGCGUGGGGAGCAAACAGGAUUAGAAACCCUAGUAGUCC
rnacentral:rRNA from 1 species